rnacentral:tRNA from 1 species
UCUAAUAUGGCAGAAUAGUGCAAUGAAUUUAAGCUUCAUGUAUAAAGCAAAGCUUUUCUUAGAA